rnacentral:rRNA from 1 species
GGUUGAUCCUGCCAGUAGUCAUAUGCUUGUCUAAAAGAUUAAGCCAUGCAUGUUCAAGUAUAAGCUUUUAUAUAGUGAAACUGCGAAAGGCUCAUUAAAUCAGUUAUAGUUUAUUUGAUAGUCAAUUACUAGAUGGAUAACCGUGGUAAUUCUAGAGCUAAUACAUGCAUCAGCAUCCUUUUGGAUGGUAUUUAUUAGGUAAAAGCCAACGAUUGGUGAUUCAUAAUAACUGACGGAUCCGUAUGGACAGAUCAUUCAAAUUUCUGCCCUAUCAACUGUCGAUGGUAGGAUA